ACUUUUUGAGUACUUUCACGUCAUUGUCUCAAUGGUGCAUACGUUUUUGUAAAGGUACACCAAUGCAUUUGUAAAAUAUAGCAUUGACUGAUCGCCAACUUUGCAUUUAUUUGCUAUUUACUAUAAAAUUUUGUCAAUUUGGGAUUAGCAUGCUAGGAUAGUACAUACAUACAGUGUUUAUAUUCAAAGAACAUGGCAGGUGAGAGUUCUGUGGAGGAUUUCACAUUGAAUUGUGUUUUUAUUUACUCAAAUACCUAGCAAAAGUGUUAAAAGCCAGGUGAGUAUUUUAUUUUUAUUUUUUACAUAAAGCCCACAUAGAAUAGGACAGCCAAAAUAUAGGGUUUUUCCUUUGUUGUGUUUUUGAAGUGCUCUCAUGCACGUUUUAACAAAACUUAAGCACUUUCCUGCUGUGUCAUAUUUUCUAAUGUUAAGAUUGCAAACCUGUCUAUAUAUUAUUAUAUAAGUGUUCCAGUUUUCUCGUUUUAGUACUAUCCUGGAGAAAGUCUGCUGGGAAAAGAUUUUAAAAAUUCUAAGUUUAUAGACACAUUUUUGCUGAAAUUCAUUGUGGUGUUGUUGUUAACAAGCAUGGUUCAUUUGCCAAGCGUCCUGGGACAGGUGAGGGAGUGAGAGUCCUGGGAAAGGUAAGGGAGUGAGUGUCCUUGGACAUGUGAGGGGGCGAGUGUCCUGGGACAGGUGAGGUCCCAGGUGAGGGAGUGAGUAUCCUGGGACAGGUGAGGGAGUGAGUGUCCUGGGACAGGCGAGGGAGUGAGUUUGCUUGGACAGGUGAGGGGGCGAGUGUCCUGGGACAGGUGAGGUCCCAGGUGGGGGAGUGAGUGUCCUGAGACAGGUGAGGGAGUGAGUGUCCUUGGACAGGUGAGGGGGCGAGUGUCCUGGGACAGGUGAGGUCCCAGGUGAGGGAGCGAGUAUCCUGGGACAGGUGAGGGAGUGAGUGUCCUGGGACAGGCGAGGGAGUGAGUUUCCUGGGACAGACAGGUGAGGGGGCGAGUGUUCUGGGACAGGUGAGGGGGCGAGUGUCCUGGGACAGGUGAGGUCCCAGGUGGGGGAGUGAGUGUCCUUGGACAGGUGAGGGGGCGAGUGUCCUGGGACAGGUGAGGUCCCAGGUGAGGGAGCGAGUAUCCUGGGACAGGUGAGGGAGUGUGUGUCCUGGGACAGGCGAGGGAGUGAGUUUCCUGGGACAGACAGGUGAGGGGGCGAGUGUUCUGGGACAGGUGAGGGGGCGAGUGUCCUGGGACAGGUGAGGUCCCAGGUGGGGGAGUGAGUGUCCUUGGACAGGUGAGGGGGCGAGUGUCCUGGGACAGGUGAGGUCCCAGGUGAGGGAGCGAGUAUCCUGGGACAGGUGAGGGAGUGUGUGUCCUGGGACAGGCGAGGGAGUGAGUUUCCUGGGACAGACAGGUGAGGGGGCGAGUGUCCUGGGACAUUUUUCUUCUCUCCUCUCCUCUCUCUCGCUCCAGUUUUUCACAAGUUCAUCAAACAACUGUGGUAAGAAUAUUUCAUCAAGGGCUAGUGAUGAUAUGGCUUUGGAUGCGUCUAGCUCAGGGAUUCCUGUACAUUGUUCGGUUCCGGCAACACAGCCCAUGCAGCAGGGCAACUGGGUGACAGUGAGGCAGCGUAGUCAUGGGUCAAAACACCGCUCUUCUGUUCCGAUCAAAACAUUUAACAGGUUCUCCCCACUCAGUGUUGCACCUACUGAGAAACCUGAUGAAAGUGCUCUAGUUAUUGGUGAUUCUAUUGUACGGAACGUGAAUAUAGAGACACCAGCCACCAUAGUCCACUGUUUACCGGGGCCCAGAGCACCUGACAUCUUGGCAAAUUUAAAAGUGCUGGCUAAUGCUAAACGUAAAUACAGUAAGAUUGUUAUUUCAUGCCGGCGCUAAUGAUGUUCGACUUCGCCAGUCGGAGAUCACUAAAAAUAACUUUAAAGAGGUGUGUGAAUUUGCAAGCAUGAUGUCAGACACUGUAAUAUGCUCUGGUCCCCUCCCUGCUUACAUGGUGAUGAUAUGCAUAGCAGAUUGUCAUCACUCAAUGGCUGGAUGUCUAAGUUGUGCCCACAGAAUAACAUAGGUUUCAUAGACAAUUGGACGAGCUUUUGGGGCAGACCUGACCUGUUUAAAAGAGAUGGUCUUCAUCCCUCCUGGGGUGGCGCCACUCUUCUCUCUAGAAAUAUGGCAAAUAGUCUUAGUGUUUAUACUUGACUAACUGGGGCCCAGGUCAGGAAGCAGACAGACUGGCUAAACCGACCGUCUGCUAGCUGCCUCCCGUCACAGAGGUCAGUUAAUUCUCAGCACAUAGAGACUCUUUCACCUAGAUAUCACACUAUAGAGACUGUGUCUCUUCCCCGAACUAGAACAUUUCCAAACCAAGUUGAGUAACAAUUUAAUUGAGGUUCAACAAACAGAUGCAAUACGGAUAAACAAAUAAUAAAGCUUGGCUUAUUGAAUAUCAGAUCCAUUUCUAUGAAAACACUUUUUGUAAAUAAUAUGAUCACUGAUCAUAAUCUAGAUGUGCUCUGUUUGACAGAAACCUGGCUAAAACCUGAUGAUUACAUUAUUUUAAAUGAGUCCACCCCCACAUACAGGUGAGGGGGUGAGUGUCCUGGGACAGACAGGUGAGGGGGCGAGUGGAAGCUGAUCUAGCUGCUCAGGGAGGACAUCAAACUCCAAAGUGAGGCAGAGGAGAGAAGAGCACAAGUUUUCUUUUAUUUGAGAGAAUGCUUAACAAAUACAUUCUUCAUUAGCCAAAAGAAAACAGUGGGAAAAAAAUUGGUACAUUACAGUUUUUUAAUGUCUUUUUUAAAUGUCAUAUUGUCAAUGAAACAACCUAAUUUCUGUAGUUUAUUUUUGUGAUGCAAGUUAAAAAUGAAAUGCAUACUUAUUCAUUUUCUGUGUGUAAUUUAUUCGUAAAUAAGCCUGAGUACUCUCUGUACAUUUUGUAUUUUUGUUUUGCAUAUUUACAUGUGUAAAUAAAAGAGAAAAACUUAUGUAUAUUUGUUUUUAUUCAGCUUAUAAUUUUUUCACAAAACAUUAUUUUAUGUU